GCUGGCGGCAUGCUUAACACAUGCAAGUCGAACGGAAACGAUGGAGCUUGCUCCAGGCGUCGAGUGGCGGACGGGUGAGUAACGCAUGGGAAUCUGCCUUUUGCUGGGGGAUAACGUAGGGAAACUUACGCUAAUACCGCAUAAGACCUAAGGGUGAAAGCGGGGGACCGAAAGGCCUCGCGGCAAGAGAUGAGCCCAUGUUGGAUUAGCUAGUUGGUGGGGUAAAGGCCUACCAAGGCGACGAUCCAUAGCUGGUCUGAGAGGAUGAUCAGCCACACUGGGACUGAGACACGGCCCAGACUCCUACGGGAGGCAGCAGUGGGGAAUAUUGGACAAUGGGGGGAACCCUGAUCCAGCAAUGCCGCGUGUGUGAAGAAGGCCUUCGGGUUGUAAAGCACUUUCAGUAGGGAGGAAAGGUGCGUAGUUAAUACCUGCGCAAUUGACGUUACCUACAGAAGAAGCACCGGCUAACUCCGUGCCAGCAGCCGCGGUAAUACGGAGGGUGCGAGCGUUAUUCGGAAUUACUGGGCGUAAAGCGCACGCAGGCGGUUGCCCAAGUCAGAUGUGAAAGCCCCGGGC
rnacentral:rRNA from 1 species